rnacentral:lncRNA from 1 species
AACCAGCAUGUCUCUCAGUCAAGUUCAUUGUAAGUAAAUAAAAGCAAAUCUAACAAUGGUACUCUUCUCCACAUAUUGCAAAAUAUGAUUACAGACGAGGAAAGGAUUACUUUAGGUGCUAAGCUUAUCUGACGUAUCUCUGUAGUCAUGCCUUUCCUAUCCAUUACUUAAUACAUAAAAUCAAUUACAUAGUAUCAGUAAUGCAGUAGCUGAUUUUUAGGUUAAUAUGCAAACAAUCAAGAUGUAAGUUUUGAUAAAACAUCUAUGCUCUUUUCCAAUUUUGAAUAAAUCCUGAAGACACUUCAAAAAUAAGAACCCAAAACUGCUGACUGUAAGCAUCCAAAAAUACAGUUGUAGUUUCACUAUGGACAAGUUGUAGUCCGUUAGAAAAGUAGAUCAUACAUACAAAGGUAUAAAGAACAUUUAAGUCAGUCUUAGCGGAAGGCAGUCCUUGAAGGAAACAAUACUCCAAGCAAUCUUUUGCUGAGUGUACUUUCGCUUUAGCCCAUUGGGGCCAGGGAAGAUACAAGGGUCUACUCAGUAGAUUCUUCCUCGACUACGAUUGCCACGUCCUCCCCAGCCUCUUCCUCGUCCACCCCGGAAACCACCUCUUUGCUCGUAAGAAAAACUGCCCAGGUUACUACUGUAUUUUCCACUGGGAGGAUUAUAUAUCUGCCUGGCAUCCCUUUUUGGUCCUGCCGAAGCUUUCUUUGGAGGUGAACUUGAGGUUGUAUCUUCACUUGUUCUUUUUUGAUUUGCAUCUGCCUUCUGUACCGGUUUCCAGGACAGCGUGACUGUACUUUUAUAAGAAGGGGGAAUGUGGAAGAGAUCCUUGAUUAAAACAUUAAUGUUAUUGGUUAUUUUCAAAGCAACCACUUUGAUCUUGUUCUCCUCUGUUUUCAAGGCUUCUCCUGUUUUACCCUGGAGUGCUAGACGAAGCUGUCGAAUAUACACCUGCAACCCUCGAGCAAAAUAUUGUAGCCUGAUUUUAAAGUCUUUCAAUUUCUCUGCAUUCAGUUUGGCUGUGAGGAAAUCUGGAAGUUUACGACCCAGCUGAUGGAAGCUAUACAAGAGACACUCGACAUAACUGAACUGCAACUUGGGCUCUUCACCACCAGCAUUUUCUCCAUUCUCUGCUUCCUCUGGAGGAAGCGGCAUAUAUUCCAGCAAUUUAUCAAAUAACUUCUUCAAAUUUGAUUCCAGCUUUUCCAUAUCUCCACAAAAUGAACUCAUUUCAGCAAGAAGCUUCAGGACCUCUAACUGGAUAUCAAGACCCUCCACUGGAGUAGUCAAAGCACUGAGGUUCGGAAGCACGUGCUCACAGAAGUAAGUAACAAAUUUUGUGGAAUGAACGUUCUUUGAGAAGAGUGGCACUGCCUGUCGAGUACACUGCAGAAGUCUGUCCACGCAAUCUGGAUCCGAUGGAUUGAACGUUUGCUCCAGGUCAGCUUGUUCAGCUACCAACUCCACUAGUUGCUGCCUCCCACUUACUGUCUGUAAGCUUUUUAAUCCAGACAAUAUUUUCAUGAAUAGAACAAAUUCUUCACCUGUCACAUCUUCCAGUACCUUCUUUGAUUCAGCUAAUAUGAACUCUUCAACCUCCUUAGUCAGCACCUCUUCAGGAAGGGUUUUCAGUUUUGUAGAGAGGAAUUUGAUGGCUCUUUCUCUCACAAUAUCUUCCCCCUGAAGAAUUUGACUGAAUAAGCCUCCCAAGGUCCCUUUAGCAUCCAUCUUAAAUAUACUGAGCAAAGCAUUGUUCACCAAAUUGAAUUCUGCAGAAUCAUCUGACUGCAGAAGCUGGGUCAGUAUGUCUGCUACCCGGGGAAGAUUAUCUCCGGUGGCAAACUGAGGCAGCUCCUUAAUUGCCUGGCGCCGGAUAGAAACAUCUUCAUCCUCGCAGAGGUCCAACUGGGCAUUGAUAGCUGAGUCAGCUAAUUCAGGAAAAUGCUUGAAGAACUUUGGAAUAAACUGGGCUGCAAGUCUCUUCUCCUUGGCGCCUCCUUUCACGCCAUCCAAGAUCACCUGGUAGGCAUCCUUGUGCUGGCCCGCCGUCUCCGUGGCGUCCGCUAGGAUGCCGUAGUUGCGGUAAAGCUCCUCGACGGUGGGCAUGGCACGGCGGGGAAGGGGCAGAGCCGCCGCUGCAACCGAGGCCGCCGCUGACGCCACCGUCGCCGCUCAGGCCGCCGCCGCUCCGCGCAGGCCGCCGCCG